rnacentral:rRNA from 1 species
UACGUAGGGGGCUAGCGUUGUCCGGAAUCAUUGGGCGUAAAGCGCGUGUAGGCGGUUCGGUAAGUCCGCUGUGAAAGCCGGGGGCUCAACCCUCGGAUGCCGGUGGAUACUGUCGGACUAGAGUACGGAAGAGGCGAGUGGAAUUCCUGGUGUAGCGGUGAAAUGCGCAGAUAUCAGGAGGAACACCGAUUGCGAAGGCAGCUCGCUGGGACGUUACUGACGCUGAGACGCGAAAGCGUGGGGAGCAAACAGG